UAAGGGUCGAGAAGGUACUGGGGCUGCAGGGAAAUGGCCCAGUGAAGUAGACUGAGAGGCUGGAGGCCACGCAGUGCGUGGCUGCCAUUUACAGGGUCCCUGGGCUGGGACCUCGAGUAAUGGCCGGGCCCAGGUUCCCCCUCACUCCCACUUGCCACUGAGGAAGUGCUGGACCGGUUGGACUGCAGUACAUUCCCCCAGAAAGGGGGAGCACAAAGUGUGGCACAGUCAGAGGGCUGUGUCCUGAAGAGGACGCCGCGGUCUUUGGAGCAACAUGGGUCCAGGACUGGAAAUGAUGGUGGGCGAGACACCACCGAGAGUUGGCAUACCGAUCUGUGGAGCUGAUUUGCAGGAUGACCAGCAGGAGGUGCUAGUGUGGUGAGUCACACCCUGUCACAGUCCAGGGAAGCAAGGACCAGAGGCUGGACCAUGAGUAUUGAGUCCAAGUGGUGUCUGCUUGGGGAGUAAACUGAUGCUAGCCACAUCUGGAGGGGCCUGAGACACAGACUUGUAUACUGUACCAUCAGGCCCAGCGCUGUGAAGAUAGCUUGGACUGUGCUGAUGCUGUUCUGUACUUGGGCCUAUGAGCGGCCUUUGAUCAGCCAGUUGAGGUACAGGUAGACUGA